CAGGUGCUGCGUCAGCAAAUAAAGACUCUUGAAGAGGCACUGGAGGAGGAGGAGAUGUGCCAGCAGCAGAGGAAGAAGGAGGCAGAGGUGCCGGGGACUACACUGCCGGAGCUGGUGGAAGCACAGCUGGACGCUCAUCCUGCUCUUGGUCAGCCUGCAGCUGGCUGUCGGCUUUGCUCUGGCUGCUGUUGUCCUCUACGCCUCCUGGUACGACCCCGAGCUCUUCCACCGCCUGCUGUUGCAUGUGCUGUGUGAGACCAACAUCGACCAGGCAAUUGCACUGGGAAAGAUCUUCCCCAGGGUCAUGGACGGGCCGCUGCCCUUCUGACAGCCCCCCACCCUCAAUAAAGCCUUUUCUACCUGAA